rfam:Triticum aestivum genome assembly, contig: Triticum_aestivum_CS42_TGACv1_scaffold_148279_2BS
CAAAUACUCCCUCCGUCCGGAAAUACUUGUCAUCAAAAUGGAUAAAAGGAAAUGUAUCUAGACGUAUUUUAGUUUUAGAUACAUCUCUUUUUAUCCAUUUUGAUGACAAGUAUUUUCGGACGAAGGGAGUAGAAA